rnacentral:rRNA from 1 species
GACCAAGGAGUUUAUCGUGUACGCAAGUCAUUGGGUGAAUAAAACCCAAAGGCGAAAUGAAAGUAAAGAGUUGAGUUGUUAUUUGAGAAUUUAUUCUCUUAUAAUUUCUCUCUUUAGGGAAGAUGGAAAUUUAAUUUAUGAUCUAAUUUAUUUAGUUUGUCUAUUAAAAUUUCUCGCAUUCCCAGGGCGCUUGUUUCACGCUUUGCGUGUCGAUGCGCACCCAGAGCGUACACGCUGAUACCCGAAAGAUGGUGAACUAUGCCUGGCCAGGACGAAGCCAGGGGAAACCCUGGUGGAGGUCCGCAGCGAUUCUGACGUGCAAAUCGAUCGUCGGAGCUGGGUAUAGGGGCGAAAGACCAAUCGAACCAUCUAGUAGCUGGUUCCCUCUGAAGUUUCCCUCAGGAUAGCUUGCGCUCGUCUUAUGAGUCUCAUCCGGUAGAGCGAAUGAUUAGAGGCAUUGGGGUCGAAACGACCUCAACCUAUUCUCAAACUCCAAAUAGAUGAGACCCCCGGCUUUCUUGAAAAUUGAAGCCGUGGGAUUAGGAUCAGAGUGCCAAGUGGGCCAAUUUUGGUAAGCA